UACAGAGGUCCCGAGCGUUGCUCGGAAUUACUGGGCGUAAAGGGCUCGUAGGCGGCCAACUAAGUCGGACGUGAAAUCCCUCAGCUUAACUGGGGAACUGCGUCCGAUACUGGAUGGCUUGGAUUCGGGAGAGGGAUGCGGAAUUCCAGGUGUAGCGGUGAAAUGCGUAGAUAUCUGGAGGAACACCGGUGGCGAAGGCGGCAUCCUGGACCGAUAUUGACGCUGAGGAGCGAAAGCCAGGGGAGCAAACGGG
rnacentral:rRNA from 1 species